rnacentral:miRNA from 1 species
GACCUGAGAGGGUGAUCGGCCAC